rnacentral:rRNA from 1 species
GACGAACGCUGGCGGCGUGCUUAACACAUGCAAGUCGAACGAAGUGGCGCACGGGUGAGUAACGCGUAAUCAACCUGCCCUUCAGAGGGGGACAACAGUUGGAAACGACUGCUAAUACCGCAUACUGAAGGUGGGGAUUGCGUCUGAUUAGCUAGUUGGGGGGGUAACGGCCGACAAAGGGGAGGAUCAGUAGCCGGUCUGAGGGGAUGAACGGCAACAUUGGGACUGGGACACGGCCCAGACUCCUACGGGAGGCAGCAGUGGGGAAUCGUCCGCAAUGGACGAAAGUCUGACGGAGCAACGCCGCGUGAGUGAUGACGGCCUUCGGGGUGGAAAGCUCUGUUAAUCGGGACGCGGUACCGGAAGAGAAAGCCACGGCUAACUACGUGCCAGCAGCCGCGGUAAUAC